rnacentral:rRNA from 1 species
AUGGCUCAGAUUGAACGCUGGCGGCAUGCCUUACACAUGCAAGUCGAACGGCAGCACGGGGCAACCUGGUGGCGAGUGGCGAACGGGUGAGUAAUGCAUCGGAACGUGCCAUUGAGUGGGGAUAACGUAGCGAAAGUUGCGCUAAUACCGCAUAUUCUGUGAGCAGGAAAGCAGGGGACCGCAAGGCCUUGCGCUCUUUGAGCGGCCGAUGUCAGAUUAGCUAGUUGGUGAGGUAACGGCUUACCAAGGCGACGAUCUGUAGCGGGUCUGAGAGGAUGAUCCGCCACACUGGAACUGAGACACGGUCCAGACUCCUACGGGAGGCAGCAGUGGGGAAUUUUGGACAAUGGGCGCAAGCCUGAUCCAGCCAUGCCGCGUGAGUGAAGAAGGCCUUCGGGUUGUAAAGCUCUUUCGGCCGGGAAGAAAUCGCAUGGGUUAAUACUCUGUGUGGAUGACGGUACCGGAAUAAGAAGCACCGGCUAACUACGUG